ACUAAAUAGAUACCCGGGUAGUCCACGCCGUAGACGUUGGGCGCUAGGUGUGGGGGCCAUUCCACGGUCUCCGUGCCGCAGCUAAACGCAUUAAGCGCCCCGCCUGGGGAGUACGGCCGCAAGGCUAAAACUCAAAGGAAUUGACGGGGGCCCGCACAAGCGGCGGAGCAUGUUGCUUAAAUUCGAUGCAACGCGAAGAACCUUACCUAGGCUUGACAUGCACGGAAAUCUCGCAGAGAUGCGGGGUCCGUAAGGGCCGUGCACAGGUGGUGCAUGGUUGUCGUCAGCUCGUGUCGUGAGAUGUUGGGUUAAGUCCCGCAACGAGCGCAACCCUCGUUCCAUGUUGCCAGCACGUAAUGGUGGGGACUCAUGGGAGACUGCCGGGGUCAACUCGGAGGAAGGUGGGGAUGACGUCAAAUCAUCAUGCCCCUUAUGUCUAGGGCUGCAAACAUGCUACAAUGGCCGGUUACAAAGGGCUGCGAUACCGUGAGGUGGAGCGAAUCCC
rnacentral:rRNA from 1 species